UUAUGGCCAUAUCACAUUGAAACACUGGUUCUAGUCCAACCACUAAGGGUAAGCAAUUUUGAGCCUGAUCAGUACCUAGAUGGGUGACCACUUGGGAAUACCAGGUGCU